AGUGAGGUCUUCAGACCGUUACCUGGAGCGUCUUUUCGGUUGCGCCGGUGUGUUGGAAAGAUGACCAAACUUGAUCAUUUAGAGGAAGUAAAAGCCGUAACAAGGUUUCUGUAGGUGAACCUGGGAAGGAUCAUUA
rnacentral:ncRNA from 1 species